rnacentral:lncRNA from 1 species
UAAUAUGUAAAUUAAGCUCCAAAGUGCAUAAUAGUUCAAAGUGAAUAGGUCGUAUUACAUAGAUAAGAGUUCACCAAUCCCAAUUAUCAGAUGGCUUAAGAAAGCAUAAAUUCGUAGUUGCGAUGAGAUAAUGUCCAAAAUAAAAUUCAAAGUGCCUUCAUUUGAGUUCACCAACAGAGUUCAACAAAAAUGACCGAAAUAUAGCAACUGAGUGUACCACUUCUCCCCUUUUCUAGAGUAAAUGAUAUUGCUUGGAACCCAACAAACCAAGUAUACCUGCAGAUGUUUCUAUGAAUUGAACUCCAGCAGAUAUCACCAAAAGAACCUUCAACAAAACGUCCUCCAGGCAUCAUCACCAAGAGCACCACAAUAAUCUUUCAGCUAUCAUCACAAAAAGAAAGUCCUGCUGCAAAUCAAAUAAACACAUGGAUUAAGUCAUUAUUUAGCACAAAAUAACAUGAAGAAAGUUGCAACGCACCAACUAAAACAAAACAGCAAUUAUACCUGCAUCUGUUCCUAUUUGGCCUCUUUGCCCCGGAGCUGCACUUUGGUGGCCUUCUUUGUCCUCUUUCUCACUUGAGUGUCAUCUCCAUCAGAAUUUCCUUUGGUGACCUUCUUGCCCGCUUGAGCGUCAUUUCCAUCAUCAGACUUCUUGCCCACUUGAGUGUAAUCUACAUCAGAUUCCUUUGUCCUCUUGACCACUUGAGUGUCAUCUCCAUCAGAUUUUCCUUUGGUCACCUUCCUUGUCUUCUUGCCCGCUUGAGUGUCAUCUCCAUCAGAUUUUCCUUUGGUGACCUUCCUUGUCUUCUUGCCCGCU